GGUUAUGUAGGGAUUCUGUUUAGUGUCUGGAGGUUGGAUAAAGAGGGGAGUUAGGGGGUUAGUUGUUGGUUAGGAUUAGAUUUUUAUUUUUUUUAUUUCUUAAUUUGAAAAUAAAAUAAAUUUUGAUAUAGCCAAAAAUCCCUCCCUUUUUCCUCAUGUUUCUUUGUAUUUCCUCAGAGUUUUUUUUUUCUUUUUCCUUUUCCAUUCUACAUGUGAGUUAUUGAAAAGAAAUUACCAAAUUGGUCCUUUUCUAUUAUUGGUCUUAAAUGCCUUACUUUUCCUUGUUCAUGCUAUUCAAUUCGAUAGAGGGGUUCGAUUGUAUUGAUUGCUAUUUGAUUGGUG
rnacentral:lncRNA from 1 species